UCAGUACUCCCUCCGUCCCAAAAUAAGUGACUCGAAGGUGAAUCUACUUUGUACUAAAGUUAGUACAAAAAUGAGUCAUUUUUGACUCACUUAUUUUGGGACGGAGGGAGUAAAAC
rnacentral:pre_miRNA from 1 species